rnacentral:rRNA from 1 species
CCUACGGGCGGCUGCAGUAGGGAAUAUUGCGCAAUGGGGGAAACCCUGACGCAGCAACGCCGCGUGAGUGAGGAAGGUCUUCGGAUUGUAAAACUCUUUUAUCUGGGAAAAAUGAUUUAGUGGUUAAUACCCAUUAGAAGUGAUGGUACCAGAUGAAUAAGCACCGGCUAACUUCGUGCCAGCAGCCGCGGUAAUACGAAGGGUGCAAGCGUUAUUCGGAAUCAUUGGGCGUAAAGCGCGCGCAGGCGGAUUUGUAAGUCAGGUGUGAAAUCUCG